UCGAUGGUAGGAUAGAGGCCUACCAUGGUGGUAACGGGUAACGGGGUGUUAGGGCACGACACCGGAGAGGGAGCCUGAGAAACGGCUACCACAUCCAAGGAAGGCAGCAGGCGCGCAAAUUACCCAAUCCCGACACGGGGAGGUAGUGACAAUAAAUAACAAUACAGGGUUCUUUUGGAUCUUGUAAUUGGAAUGAGUACAAUUUAAAUCUCUUAACGAGGAACAAUUGGAGGGCAAGUCUGGUGCCAGCAGCCGCGGUAAUUCCAGCUCCAAUAGCGUAUAUUAAAGUUGUUGCAGUUAAAAAGCUCGUAGUUGAAUUUCGGGAUCAAUGUUUCGGUCAUGCCGUUGGUAUGUACUGAUAUUAUUGAUUUCUCACCUUCUAAAGAACCGUAAUGCCAUUAAUUUGGUGUCACGGGGAAUUAGGACUGUUACCUUGAAAAAAUUAGAGUGUUUAAAGCAGGCUCACGCUUGAAUACAUUAGCAUGGAAUAAUGAAAUAGGACAUCCGAUUCUAUUUUGUUGGUUUCUAGGAUCGAUGUAAUGAUUAAUAGGGAUAGUUGGGGGCAUUAGUAUUCAAUUGUCAGAGGUGAAAUUCUUGGAUUUAUUGAAGACUAACUACUGCGAAAGCAUUUGCCAAGGAUGUUUUCAUUAAUCAAGAACGAAAGUUAGGGGAUCGAAGACGAUCAGAUACCGUCGUAGUCCUAACCAUAAACUAUGCCGACUAGGGAUCGGAUGAUGUUAAUUUUUUAAUGACUCAUUCGGCGCCUUACGGGAAACCAAAGUGUUUGGGUUC
rnacentral:rRNA from 1 species